UUUACUUUAUAUGGUAUUAAAAUCUGAUAGGAUUUGUGCUAAGACAGUAAUGAUUCUUUGCUUGAUAGGGUUGUGUUAUAGUUUGAUCAUAUUUUGAUAUUGGUCCUCUAGUAAUUCGAUUUGAUUUGUGGCUUGAUAGGGUUGUGUUAUAGUGUUAUAGUUUGAUCAUAUUUUGAUAUUGGUCCUCUAGUAAUUCGAUUUAAUUUGUGGCUUGAUAGGGUUGUGUUAUAGUGUUAUAGUUUGUUCAUAUUUUGAUUUGAUUAUAUGAUUCUUUGUUUGAUAUGCUCGUAUUGAUAUUGCCGACUAUAGAUUAUAUGAUUCUUUGUUUGAUAUAGCCGACUAGAGACUAUAGAUUAUAUGAUUCUUUGUUUGAUAUGCUCGUAUAGUUUGAUAUGGUGGUAUAUAUAUUGCGUUUCAUAUUGAAUAAAUCAUUGUAUUGUUGGUUGAUAGCUUUAAGUCCUGCUGUAUUGUUGGUUGAUAGGUUUAAGUCAUGGUUACUCCUUGUAGUUACAUUGUAGUCAGAUUGAAUGUUAUUAAUGUUAUUGUUAGCUUUAGUAUAUCAAUGUUAUUGUUAGCUUUAGUAUAUCAAUGUUAUUGUUAGCUUAAAAGUCGUGGUGGAUAGCUUUAGGUGGUGGUUGAUAGCUUUAAGUUGUGUAAUUACUUCAGAUUAGACAGUUCUUGGUAAUGGUUAGUCAUUUAUGUGGGUUGAUAUCUCUUCACUUCCGCGUAGUAAACACCAACUCACUUCGGUUAAAUAGACACACACACACACACCCACUUUCUCACAUCUCUCAUCUCUUUUCUUUCUGAUAUGAAUCCAAAUUAUCAUCCUGCUCAAUCCUCUAGUUACGUAGGACUGCUUCACAGUCAAGAUGGUAGUGCUUUCAAUGAAAACUUUCCUUAUGAAAGUUUUCAUUCUAGUGUUAACUUUGGAGAUUCCGAACCUAUCCCGGCUUUCAGUUCUCAACAAACUCAAGACGCACCUCCAGAGACACCAGUGGCCCGUGCUGUGAGACGCAAAUGGAACCCAACAGAUGACGAGGUGCUGAUAAGUGGCUGGCUUAACACUUCUAAGGAUCCUAUAGUGUCAAAUGACCAGAAGGCGGGUACCUUCUGGAACCGAGUUGCUGCUUAUUAUGCAUCAAGUCCACACGGAAGAGAGGAUGGUGAGAGAGAGUGGGUUCAUUGCAAGAAGAGGUGGCACAGAAUCAAUGAUGAGAUAAACAAGUUCUGUGGCGCAUACGCGGCAGCAGAGAGACAACAGAGGAGUGGUGAGAGUGACACUGACGUUCUGAAGAAGGCGCAUGACAUUUUCCACUCUGAUAAUGGACACAAGUUCACCCUUGAACACGCGUGGUGUAUGCUCAAGUAUGAACAGAAGUGGAUGAGUCUUAACACACCUAAACCAGGUUCGAAGAGGAAGAACACUGAGACAAGUACCCAAAGUUCUACCACUGAAGGUUUUGUUGAACCUGAGAGCACGCCACAAGGCCUCGUUGAGCCUGAGCGCAGGCCAGAAGGGAUCAAGGCUGCUAAGGCUAAAAGAAACACGCUUAAAGGGAAGUCUGUGGCUGAGUAUGCGGCUGUGUGGGAUAUGAAGAAGGCGGAUUUGGAGAAGAAGGAGACACUGUCGAAGCUAGGUAUACUAGACAGUCUCAUUGCACUUGCCAAGGUGCAACCAUUGACUGAGGCGGAAGAAGCGGCGAAGAAUAAGAUACUAGCCCAGUACUUCUGAAAGAAAAAUCUGCUUGUCUUUAUUUUUGCUGUUUGUUGCCUUUAUGCUUGUCUGUAUGUUUGAAAAAUCUGCUCUAUGCUUGUCUUUAUGUUUGUUGUUGGUCUAUGUAUCGAAAUGCUUUAGUGUUUUCAAUAAAUGAAGUUGCCAUAAUCAAGUUGUAGCUCUAUGUAUCUGUCAUCUUUAGUGUUUUCAAUAAAUGAUGUUGCUCUAAUGAAGUUUAUGGCAGGUUCAAUAAGCGAUGGGAGUUUACAGCUAUUCGCAGCCAUCUCAGUCGGAAGAUUUAUUUGGAAACAAUGACGAUAGUGACUACAGUGAGACGGAGGAUUUAAUACGCCGUGAUCAAGCUGAGCUAAGCUUGGAAAGACGUUCAGAGGUUCAGUAUCCUCCGCAACCGGAGGUUGAGUUUGGCUGCCCACAGGUUUGCUACUGUGGUUCUCAGCCACUCCUCCGCAACAGUCGUACUGAUCCAGGUCGGUUAGUCUACACUUGCGCGAAUGUUGACGAUGGCGAAUGCCAUGUCUGGAAGUGGUGGGAUGAGGCCAUCAUGGAGGAGAUGAGAGCGAGAGAUAGACACGUGCUUCAGCUAGCUGAGAAGGUAGAUAAUCUAACUGUGCUGCCUGACUAUGAGACUGAUCAGAGGUUGAGUACCCUAGAGAAGAUUGUGGAUGAUAUAGUGGUGGAUAAAUCUGAGCAGAGGUUGAGUAGCCUAGAGAAGUAUGGGUUUCAGUGCUUUGUAAUAGCCAUGCUUCUUGUUGUGGUUGUGGUAGCCAUGGUGGUCUAAUUGUAGUCUUGAUAUUAAUUUCUUCUUGAACUUAUUACUAGACCAGACCUUUUUUUUUUA